rnacentral:rRNA from 1 species
AGUGAACGCUGGCGGUAGGCCUAACACAUGCAAGUCGAACGGCAGCACAGUAAGAGCUUGCUCUUACGGGUGGCGAGUGGCGGACGGGUGAGGAAUACAUCGGAAUCUACUUUUUCGUGGGGGAUAACGUAGGGAAACUUACGCUAAUACCGCAUACGACCUACGGGUGAAAGCAGGGGAACUUCGGACCUUGCGCGAUUGAAUGAGCCGAUGUCGGAUUAGCUAGUUGGCGGGGUAAAGGCCCACCAAGGCGACGAUCCGUAGCUGGUCUGAGAGGAUGAUCAGCCACACUGGAACUGAAACACCGUCCAGACUCCUACGGGAGGCAGCAGUGUGGAAUUUUGGACAAUGGGCGCAAGCCUGAUCCAGCCAUACCGCGUGGGUGAAGAAGGCCUUCGGGUUGUAAAGCCCUUUUGUUGGGAAAGAAAAGCAGCAGGUUAAUACCCCGCUGUUCUGACGGUACCCAAAGAAUAAGCACCGGCUAACUUCGUG